AGGGUACAUGGAACAAAUAUUGGCUGAUGUGCCUGAAGAGGGGCUGAGAGAGCUGUGUGGACCUUCUGAGCUGCAAGAAUCUAAGCGAUGGAGACUGAAGCAUAUGGGGUUUAACAGCUACACUAGGAACAACACAUCCAUACUGCACAUAUGGCACAAUGAUGUGAGCAACACAGAGCUAGGACACCAUCAAGGAAGAUGAAGAGCGGCUUCAUUUAACUACGAACACAUAAAGACGAGAACAGCAGGGCUGAAAUAUAAGAUGUUUGGAUAGAAACUUCUGUGGGAAGACAGCAUCUUUGCUGGCCCUCGCUGCAUUAAAUAGAAGAUGAGGAGCAAGAGCACUGGUGGGCUUUGUGUUGAUGCCAACCAGGACAGCUCCUGAGUGACUGAAGAAACAGCACAAAAGAGGAUGCAAAACAAGACCCACUCUGAAUAUUGCUGCAAUUACCGCUUUGAGAAGGUGCUGAAUUCAGGCCUGCAAUUCUGGCAACAGCGCUGUAGGCAAUUUGUUCCCCCACAGUAACACCUGCAAGCAGGAGGGCUUGAUAAUUUUUAUUUGGUGGGAGAACAUCUUUGGACAUGCAUGUGCAAAGGAAAAAAUUUUGAUUCAUUUAAUCUGGCCCAGAAAAUUUCUUGGAAGAUGGAUAACUUUUAACGGAAAACUCACGAUCUCUCAGAUUUCACCUCACAUAACUCUGGAUUGUCAGUAUAAAGGUCUGACUGAUUCCCAUGGCUGAGUUCAAGGACAUCACAGGAGCAACUGCAUCACAGAAUGGCUCCGUGGAAAUAUUUUGCAGCAAGGUUUGAAAUACCUUAUUUAUUGCCUUAUAAACAGGGAUUAACAACAUUCUUCUUUAAUGAAAAUUUGCCUGAAUGACAAAGCAGGCACUGAACAAUGUCAUCUGAAUAUUUCCUUCAGACUGCUCAGAUUCCAGUAAAAUCAGUGAAAGCCUCCUGUAUAGGUGGGCGCUAUGUGGUUUGCGUAUGGGUAGUAACACUUCCCAAUCUAUUGGUCUGACCAAGAGGACUGCUGCUGCCAGGAGAGGUGUCCUAAGCCAGGUGAUUUCAGUUGUUGCUGCUAAUAAUCGGGGGCUGCAAACCUGUCAAAAGUGAUGCUCAUGGCUACAAGUGGGAUUAAAGCUGAGACAAGCUUGGAGGCAUCUUUGGUGCCAAGAGAAGUUUAUGGUGGGUGGUAGAACAUACAGAUGAUUUUAAAAAAAGAACUGUUGUUUGCAUUUGUGCAUCCUAUAUUAAAACCAGAAAUUCUUUGCUCCUGUAAGAAUCUUGUCAAAAGAAGAGUACAGAAUGUGCUAGAAGUGAGUUUGACUCUGAAGGUUUAAGAAAUGGUAACACCAU